rnacentral:rRNA from 1 species
GACGAACCGUACGAACGUAAUUCGGAAUCACUGGGCUUAAAGGGUGCGUAGGCGGCGCGACAAGUUGGGUGUGAAAUCCCUCGGCUCAACCGAGGAACUGCGCCCAAAACUGUCGUGCUCGAGGGAGACAGAGGUGAGCGGAACUUAGGGUGGAGCGGUGAAAUGCGUUGAUAUCCUAAGGAACACCGGUGGCGAAAGCGGCUCACUGGGUCUCUUCUGACGCUGAGGCACGAAAGCUAGGGUAGCGAACGGG